GUGAAUCAUCAAAUUUUUGAACGCAAAUUGCACUCUCCUCGGAGAGUAUGCCUGUUUGAGGGCCAGCCUUUAAAAAUAGACAUCGGCGCUGUUUGGCGGAGGCGUUGGUCAGCAAUUGGGUCAUCUUAAAUCCUUUGGAUCUAAUAGACUUAAAAUUGAAUGUUGUUUUCAUGAACGGUU
rnacentral:misc_RNA from 1 species